GGCGGACGGGUUAGUAACGCGAUGGGAACGUACCCUUUUCUACGGAAUAGCCUCGGGAAACUGAGAGUAAUACCGUAUACGCCCUUCGGGGGAAAGAUUUAUCGGAGAAGGAUCGGCCCGCGUAAGAUUAGGUAGUUGGUGGGGUAAUGGCCUACCAAGUCUACGAUCUUUAGCUGGUUUGAGAGGAUGAUCAGCAACACUGGGACUGAGACACGGCCCAGACUCCUACGGGAGGCGGCAGUGGGGAAUCUUAGACAAUGGGGGAAACCCUGAUCUAGCCAUGCCGCGUGAGUGACGAAGGCCUUAGGGUCGUAAAGCUCUUUCGCUGGGGAAGAUAAUGACUGUACCCAGUAAAGAAACCCCGGCUAACUCCGUGCCAGCAGCCGCGGUAAUACGGAGGGGGUUAGCGUUGUUCGGAAUUACUGGGCGUAAAGCGCGC
rnacentral:rRNA from 1 species